CGGGGUGGAGUAAUGUCUGGGAAACUGCCUGAUGGAGGGGGAUAACUACUGGAAACGGUAGCUAAUACCGCAUAAUGUCGCAAGACCAAAGUGGGGGACCUUCGGGCCUCUUGCCAUCGGAUGUGCCCAGAUGGGAUUAGCUAGUAGGUGGGGUAACGGCUCACCUAGGCGACGAUCCCUAGCUGGUCUGAGAGGAUGCCAGCCACACUGGAACUGAGACACGGUCCAG
rnacentral:rRNA from 1 species